ACGGAAGGCAGCAGUGGGGGAUAUUGCACAAUGGGGGAAACCCUGAUGCAGCGACGCCGCGUGAGUGAAGAAGUAUUUCGGUAUGUAAAACUCUAUCAGCAGGAAAGAUAAUGACGGUACCUGACUAAGAAGCACCGGCUAAAUACGUGCCAGCAGCCGCGGUAAUACGUAUGGUGCAAGCGUUAUCCGGAUUUACUGGGUGUAAAGGGAGCGCAGACGGCAUGGCAAGCCAGAUGUGAAAGGCAGGGGCUCAACUCCUGGACUGCAUUUGGAACUGUCAAGCUAGAGUAUCGGAGAGGUAAGUGGAAUUCCUAGUGUAGCGGUGAAAUGCGUAGAUAUUAGGAGGAACACCAGUGGCGAAGGCGGCUUACUGGACGAUAACUGACGUUGAGGCUCGAAAGCGUGGGGAGCAAACAGGAUUAGAUACCCUGGUA
rnacentral:rRNA from 1 species